rnacentral:rRNA from 1 species
UAGGAAUAUUGCGCAAUGGGCGAAAGCCUGACGCAGCGACGCCGCGUGAGGGAUGAAGGCCUUCGGGUUGUAAACCUCUUUUAGUCGGAAAGAAUAUUGACGGUACCGGCAGAAAAAGCACCGGCUAACUCUGUGCCAGCAGCCGCGGUAAUACAGAGGGUGCAAGCGUUAUUCGGAAUUAUUGGGCGUAAAGAGCGUGUAGGUGGUUUGUUAAGUCUGAUGUGAAAUCCCUGGGCUCAAUCCAGGAAGUGCAUUAGAUACUGGCAGACUAGAGUGCAGGAGAGGAUGGCGGAAUUCCCGGUGUAGAGGUGAAAUUCGUAGAUAUCGGGAGGAACAACAGUGGCGAAGGCGGCCAUCUGGACUGUUACUGACACUUAGGCGCGAAAGCGUGGGGAGCAAAC